CAAGUAAAUCGCCUUAUCGAUUCUAAAUUUUUUUAGGGUAGGAAAGUCCGAACACCAUAGUGCGGUAUAGUGGCUAACGGCCAUCCAUCGUGAGAUGAGGAAAAGUGCAACAGAAAGGAUGUACAGGUUAUGCUGUAGUGAAAUCAGGUAAACUCUAUGCGGUGCAAUGUCAUGUAAACCAAUGCUUGAGAGCGGCACGUUCAAUGUUGGAGGGUAGACAGCUAAAGUUUAACGGUAACGUUAAACGUAGAUAAAUGAUAAGGACUUUUCUUUUUUGGAAUUCACUUUCUAAGGAAGAAAAUGUACAGAAUUCGGCUUAUAGAUUUGCUUAGACA
rnacentral:RNase_P_RNA from 1 species